rnacentral:lncRNA from 1 species
AUGUGCUCUCUUUUUUUGCUAGCCUAUAUGAUAUUUAUGUUUUACUUAUUGAAUAAUUCAUAUACCACUGACCAGCACAAUAAAAUAUUUCACUUUCAGCAUACAUCUACAUUUCUUAACUUAGCUCUCAAUUCUAAUUACUACACUCAAUUUCUGUUUCUCGAUGGAAAGAGGAAUCCUACAUAGAACUGAACACCAGCUAACGAACUCCAUUAAAUAGGGAUGACUGAGUAGUGCUUACUGAGAAGAUUUAAGUAUAAAUCGAAUUUUCUUUCCUGAGUUUAAAGUUUCAUAAACGAUUAAAUAGGCAAAAGUUUACUACAGAGUAGAUAGCCUUUGGGGUGGGAUAAUACCCUGUUGUCUUUUCUUCUUUCCUUUUUCAUAGUUCUUUAGGCUCAGGAGCUCUCUGGGAUGCAGAAAGGAGAGAAAGGCUCUUCCCUCCUGCUUGAUCCUGACAUAUAUCUGCUUUUUCAAACUAUGUUUUUCUUCAUCUAGGAUGAGUUUAGGGAAGGGAGAAAAAGAAUGGCUGAAAAAGAAGUGGCUUCCUCAUUCUCCAGUUUCCUAGCACAUGCUAUUCCAGCACCAUAGGAGAAAAAAUUCUCCUGUGUUUAAGAAAUCAGCAGAUUCUGAGAGUAUUUCUAAGAGCAUCAUAGGAGAUAUAUAAUGCUGAACUGUGCUGGGAAAAAGCAGGGAGAAGGGAAGCUGUUUGCGGAGUUUACUCCUCAGAUUUCUACUUUGAACAUAAGUUGCAGGACCCAUGUUAUUAGCCUUGAAGUAGAAGAGGGGUCCAGGCAGCUCUUGGACUUCUCUGUCAGUGCUGAGGCUUCGUGAGGUAGGAGCCUAAAGAAGAGCAUCCCACAUAGACCUGAAGACACAUAAGGGACACUUAAUAAUAUUUGAGUAAAUGAGAAAAUGGCAAGAAAAGGCUCUUUUUUUCUGUGAUUUUCAGAAACAUCAAGGAUGUCAAAGCUUACCAGUUCUGACUUGAUUUGUAUUACAGUCAACAACCUUAAAGUCAUUGAAUUAAAAGAAACAAGACUGCUCUAUUUCCUUCCAUCUCACUGCCCUUUUUGACUAGAUUUUCAGAAUGUUCUCUUGUAAAAAUUCCAAGCAUACAUAGUUCUUUAUACUAGCUCUUUUUAUGAGAACAAGGAACUUUUUAAUGUUGGUUGUUCAUUUUCAUCCUGAUUUCCUACUCCUAUUUUACCCACUUUUCCAUAUGUGACCAAGUUCAUGUUUGGUGUGAUCCCUUUGCUUUUAUAUUUUGUAAAAUGUGUGUCAUAUUUUGUGUGCAUUAUUUUUAAAUUUACAUUGUACUGUGACACAGAUCUUCUUCUUCCUACUAAUAUUAUAUAUAUAUUUUUUCCUCUGUGCAUAGUCUACUAUGGGG